CCCUGCGGAAACCAGGGGUGCGGACGCCGUUCGGAACGUGCGCCCCGAAAAAGCCACGCGGCGGAUACCUCUAGAGCUCCGGAGCCGACGCUGCUGAGCGACGGCCGGCCAGUGCCCGAGGGUGCCGCGGAACAGUGGAAAGAGAGUUACGGUGUUAUGGUGAUCAGCCGCAUAAACUGCACUCUAGACGGCCUUAAAGGGUGAAAAAACCUGUCUUCGUAGUUGCCAGUGAUGAUGGAGCAGUGUCUCACCGAUGGAGGAGUCGUGGGAUGGCUCGUAAACGUGCGGGCGCCAGGGACGCUUUGGAGGGACUAGGAAGAUGAAAUCAAAAGGAAAAAAGGAGAAAGAUCCCCCCUGCAAAUCCAGAUCCCCCCUGCAAAUCCAUGCACCGGUUCAUCUGCUCGGCUGCUGCUGCUUGACAGAGUCAUUACUGCCUUGGCCUUCUGUGGACGUGUUUCAAACGCUCAUUGAGAGCUGAGGAGCCGAGUUGGCUUGUUUAUGACUUAGCUGACAAGCCCAGGCUAAAUCCAAACACCCCGAAUUACGGCGAAAUACUAAUGCGGUUUAGAAAGAGGCCUCUUCCGUGCGACUCGGUCCUUUGCCGCGCGUGCCCGGAGAUUUACUCCGUCCUUCGUUCCCGACCGUGCCUCUUCGGCGGCCCGCCUCUCGCGGACGCAAACCGAAUGAAAUUCUACUACGAGUGUUGCCUUGAAAAAUAAUCUUCUAAGUACAUCUAGCUACGUGAUUAAAACACAUCCGUGCCUUGGCAGUCGUGUACGGAAAGCUUUUCGGUGGAGAAAAUAGCUAUUUUGAUAGCACGCUUUCAUACGCCUUCAGAAAAAGCAGAAUUCGUACCGGCUCCUGAGACUCCCCGCUGAAGAACCCGGCCGUCCUCGCGACGCCCGAUGCGGCGGACGUCGGGGGAAAAGCCGAGCCUGGA